GUUAGGGAUGGAAUAGGUUCGAGCGAAAGAGUAGGGCAGACAGACCGCCAACACUAGUGGAAAGCCGUAGAUCAAAGAGAACAAGAAUUCUAUAAUUUUCAGCUUUAUGUCAGUGCGAUUUUAUUGGGCAUGAAUUUGAGUUUUUGAAAUUUCACUAGAAAAGCUUGAUAGGAAUUAAGAAACACUAAUUUGCAUUUAGAGAACUAAGAAUUCCGAGGAAGAAAGAAAUAGAAGGCUUUGAAGUAUAUUGAUAAAUUUUUCAAAGGAAAGAGUGCUGAACAGAUGGACUUGAAAUCAAGAGGAAAGAGUAAAAAAGUCCGCCAUGGUGGUCAACUAGGGAGUGAGAGUAAGGUUGAUGGGAAGGGCAAGACAGCUGUAAACUCAGGUUGGACAAGGAAAAGAAUAUUUGCUGAUCAAUAUGUUGAUGGAGAAUUAUCAUCCAACAUAAAAAGUAAAGACUUGUCUAAGAAAGGAAAAAGGCAGAUGAAUGAUAAUACCAUUAAAAGGAAAAAUAGCAAAGGACCUCCCCGCUCGAUUUGGGUUUCUGAUAGAAUGAAGAAUGCUACUUUGGAAAAAAAACAUCCUUCUUUUGAUGUUGUAGAUGCAACAGAAAGUGCACAGGUGUCCAGUGGUAAACGGAGUACCAGGGCGAGGAAAGAGGGUAAAGUGGGUGUUGACAAGUAUGAUUUACCGAAGAAACAAUCCAAAAGCAAAUUGGACUCAAGUAAGCGCUUGGUUCAAAUUCAAACCAAGCAUCCUAUUGUACCUAAUUUGACAUCUUCAAAGAAAACAGUGCAGAACAAACAAAGCAUUGCCAAUGGUGAUUCAGACAUAGAUGGCCAGCCAAAGAAGAAAAAGCGUGUAAUUCGGUUAGAUCCACAUGACAUCUCAAAUAAACGGCUAGAUGAUGGAAUAGUUACUAAUGAGAGUGUGCAAAAGAAGAAAAAAGAAUCUGAGACAGAAGCUGAAAUGUCAAAGAAUGCACAAUUCCGUGCGAUAAAACCUGGCCCUUCUAUGCUUUCCUUUGUGGAAGAUAAUUUUUUAGGCCGUAGACGAUUGAUUGAGCUAAAAAGGGCAGGCUACAACAUCGAGUUAUCUGCCCCAUUAGAUAACAUUCCUUUCUGUACAAGCUCUGAGAGAGAACGGAUUGAAGAAAAUAUUUUUAGGAACAAAUUGACAUUUUUUGCCGCUGCAAAAGUUUCAUCUUCGUUCCCUUCUCCUGAUCUUCCAGAGAUUGCAUUUGCAGGAAGGUCAAAUGUUGGGAAGUCAUCACUUCUAAAUGCACUCACUAGACAAUGGGGUGUUGUACGGACAUCAGACAAGCCUGGCCUUACUCAGACUAUUAAUUUCUUCAAGCUGGGGUCAAAGGUCAGUUUGGUUGAUUUGCCUGGAUAUGGAUUUGCAUAUGCAAAAGAAGAAGUUAAAGAUGCUUGGGAGGAGCUUGUGAAGGAGUAUGUUUCCACCAGAGUUAGUUUAAAACGAGUAUGUCUUCUUAUUGACACAAAAUGGGGUAUGAAGCCAAGAGACCAUGAACUCAUUGAUUUAAUGGAAAGAUCUCAGACCAAAUAUCAGAUUGUAUUGACCAAGACAGAUGUAAUAUUUCCAAUUGAUGUGGCACGCCGUGCAACGCAAAUUGAAGAGAGCCUCAAGGCAAACAAGUCUAUAGUUCAACCUGUGAUGAUGGUAAGCUCAAAAUCUGGAGCUGGUAUCCGAAGUUUAAGAACAGUGCUUUCCAAGAUUGCUCGGUUUGCCAAGCUCUAAUCAUGGUUAGGUUUGUACUUCAUGGGUAAAGCCUGUUGUAUAAUUUGGAGAAUCUUUAUUCGUGGAGCGGGCCUUGCACCCAUGCAAAUAAAUUGAACUGGCGUAUCUCUCUCACCUAACAAGUCUUGUUUAACGCGUUUGUAAUGGCUCAUGCUCAAAGUAGUUUGUCAUUGAGUUCAUAGUUAUGCCUUUAAUAUCAUUUUAGUAUGGACUAGUCAGUUUACUUGGUGGUUCCUACUUGACUUCUUAUUUCUGCCUUUUCCCUUAGUAACUCAUGGCUUGGUAAUUAUCAUUUGAUCCAUGCAAGAAGUGGCUUAUUGUUUAUGUAAAUGUUCUAGGGUUGGCAUGACUGAACUGAAAGCAAAAAUUUCAUUGGAUGGUUUGACGCUGCAUAUUUGUUCCAUUGUUUUUGUUCAUUGGGUGCUGAUAGCCUGCCUGCAUUAGCCAGCAUGAUGACACUAGUAGAGUUGAAGACUUCAUAAGGUAAAUGGAUGUUCAGAUUGCAGAUAUUUGGUGAAAUAUUUGAUCACCUGAGAUUUCUAGAUUUUCACAUUGUCAAAAGAAAUCAUUUCGCUCCUGAUAUUUUGUAGAUCUUUCUGCUAUUGAGAGAACAUUAGGAUCUGUAAACUGGUUGAUUGAUUCUUCGAUCGCUCUGGAGUGGGUAUCAAAUUUGGAAAAGCUCAUCAUUUCUGGAAUUAUAAUGCUAGUGCCAUGGCUGAUUUACUCAUGAGCAUUAUGCAUAUAAUGAUAUUGAUCUGAACAAGUAGAAUUUAGGACCCAAUGCCCCGAUUGAAAACUAAAAUUUUACAAGAACUCAAUUCAAUUGAUUUUAUUUUUAUUACUUCUCAUGUUUAGAAACUUAAUGGGAGAAAGAAUUCAAUUUCAAUUCUUUUUUAAUUACGAAUAAUAUUUUAAAAGAAAUAGAAAUUAUGUCAAAAAUAAUAUAAUU
rnacentral:misc_RNA from 1 species